rnacentral:misc_RNA from 1 species
ACUGGGACCUCUUUCCCCUCGAGGACAA